AUUUUAAAAGCCUUUUUCGGAAGGUAUGGUUAAAGAUGAGCUUGCGCCACAUUAGUUUGUUGGUGGGGUAAUGGCCUACCAAGACGAUGAUGUGUAGCUGGACUGAGAGGUCGAACAGCCACAUUGGGACUGAGACACGGCCCAAAGUCCUACGGGAGGCAGCAGUAGGGAAUUUUCGGCAAUGGAGGAAACUUUGACCGAGCAACGCCGCGUGAACGAUGAAGUAUUUCGGUAUGUAAAGUUCUUUUAUUGAAGAAGAAAAAAUAGUGGAAAAACUAUCUUGACGUUAUUCAAUGAAUAAGCCCCGGCUAACUAUGUGCCAGCAGCCGCGGUAAGACAUAGGGGGCGAGCGUUAUCCGGAAUUAUUGGGCGUAAAGGGUGCGUAGGCGGUUAGGAAAGUCUAUAAUUUAAUUUCAGUGCUUAACGCUGUCUUGUUAUAGAAACUACCUUGACUAGAGUUAGAUAGAGGCAAGCGGAAUUCCAUGUGUAGCGGUAAAAUGUGUAAAUAUAUGGAGGAACACCAGAAGCGUAGGCGGCUUGCUGGGUCUUGACUGACGCUGAGGCACGAAAGCGUGGGUAGCAAACAGGAUUAGAUACCCUGGUAGUCCACGCCGUAAACGAUGAGUACUAAGUGUCGGGAUAAAACUCGGUACUGAAGUUAACACAUUAAGUACUCCGCCUGAGUAGUACGUACGCAAGUAUGAAACUUAAAGGAAUUGACGGGACUCCGCACAAGCGGUGGAUCAUGUUGUUUAAUUCGAAGAUACACGAAAAAUCUUACCAGGUCUUGACAUGCUCUGCAAAGCUAUAGAAAUAUAGUGGAGGUUAUCAGGGACACAGGUGGUGCAUGGUUGUCGUCAGUUCGUGUCGUGAGAUGUUAGGUUAAGUCCUAAAACGAGCGCAACCCUUGUCGUUAGUUACCAGCACGUAAUGGUGGGCACUUUAACGAGACUGCCAAUUAAACAUUGGAGGAAGGUGAGGAUUACGUCAAAUCAUCAUGCCCCUUAUGAUCUGGGCUACAAACGUGAUACAAUGGCUGUUACAAAGAGUAGCUGAAGCGCGAGUUUUUAGCCAAUCUCAAAAAAGCAGUCUCAGUUCGGAUUGAAGUCUGUAACUCGACUUCAUGAAGUUGGAAUCGCUAGUAAUCCCGAAUCAGCAU
rnacentral:rRNA from 1 species